GGAAUUUCUGAGUGAGGGGCAGGCUCGUGUCCGCGGCCGACUGCCCUCUACCUGCUGUUUAGAAGACAUAGAGGAGGGAGGGUGAGGACGGAGAAGACCAAGAGAUUCUUUGCUUUGGUGAUGUAUUCUCUGUGGCUUGAAUCCUCUGAAAGUUCAAUAAGUUCAAAAUGCAUAAACCCCAAGGACAAGGAAAUUGGGUGAGCUGAUGACAGCAACCACCUUUUGCAAGUUGUAAAGCAAAUGGAAGAGUGAGAACUGAUUUUGCAAGAGUCAAAAUUAUGCGGCAUGACUGAGGACAAGUAUACUGUAAUGAUAAUGGGAAUUAUGUGAAAGUCAAUAUUAGAUGGUGACAUCUCAGCCCUCUUCUCCAACUUAGCUCUGAGAAUACUGGCAACCUACGCUUACUCCAUUCCUGCCGUGACCCACAGGUGUGUGACUGGAUAAUUCAUUAUUGGGAAGACUUUCCAGCCCAAGAGGAGCAAAACCCUGCAGUCUUAAUAAGACUAUCUCUACUGACCAGGUCAACCUCCUACCCUGACUUACCUCUGCUAUUGGUCUCACUCCUCUUAAAUGGACAGCUGGGACUUACCCUCAAACAGUCAAGGAAAGCCUCCAGUGUGAAAGAGACCAAAAUGAACAAAAAGGAACUCAGAGGCCAUGAAGUUGGCAGGAAAACUUGUUUUCAAAGCUUUAUUGUUAACUCAUGAACACAGAGAAAAGACUGGUGGUUGCCACAGGGGGUGUUGGGGGGAAUGGGUGAAAUGUAGGGGUA